AUAUGACACAGGUGAGGAGAUAUGACACAGGUGGGGAGAUAUGACACAGGUGUGGAGAUGUGACACAGGCAUGGAGAUGUGACAUAGAUGUGGAGAUGUGAGACAGGUGUGGAGAUGUGAGAGAGGUUUGGAGAUGUGAGACAGAUGUGGAGUUUGGAGGACCUAUGAGGAGUUCAGAGUUGGACAGGUUAAAUUUCAGAUGCCCAUUAGAGGGCCAAGUGGAGAUGCCGAGCAGGCGGUUGGGUGGAGGAGUCUGACAGAGGUUUGGGCAUCACGUUUGAAGAGGAGGCUCCUAGGAUUUAUGGGCGGUGUGAAGAGGAGCUCCGUUAAUAGCAUACGGUUGGGGCUCAGAGCCAAGUGUGGUGGGCAGCAAAGCCCUGGAUUCCUGUGCUCUUGACAUGGCUCGUCUAUGUAUCUAACCCAGUGCAGCGUCUUAACCAACUCUUCCCACCACUGGCUUCACUGGCACCUUAUCAAAGGCUCCCCCCUCUCACUCUUAGCACCGCUCCCUGCUUGUCCUCUGAAUCGACAGCUCUGCCUGGCUGAACUCUUCCGUGGUCUCUGAGGUUCUCAACUUGCCUUGCUCUUGACAUUUUGUCUUUAGCUCCCAUUGCUCCAAGCUUCAUGGCUGCAGGGAAGCCCUCCCUACUCCUGAGUAACUCCACCCGCCCCUCUCACCCCCGUUCUGCAAACUCCAGCCCAGGCAGGGCCCAGGCCCCUUAUUCACUCUGGAGAUGUCAACAUUUGCACAAUUUCUAAUUUAAUUCCCAGAAGGUAGACAUACAGGGUGGGGCAAAAGUAGGUUUACAGUCGUGAUUACUCAAAACAGUAUAUUCUUGUAUUUUUUAAUUUUGUAUUAUUUUCCAUACAAACCAUUUUUAAAAAUCAAUUUUAACUAUAAACCUACUUUUGCCCCACUCUGUUUCUUUAUUAUCGCUGCCACCUUGACAGAUGAGAAAAUCGAGGUUUAAAGAGGCAAAAUCACCUGCCCCAAUCACCCAGAUGGGAAGUUUCUUGUUCUAUUGCUGUGUGCCAAUUUACCACAAACUUCGAAACGUAACACACAUCUACAACCUCAUUCUGUGCAUUGGGAACUUGGACAUAUUUUAUCUGGGUAUCCUGUUUCACGGUCUUGUGGGCUACCGUCAGGGUGUCCCCCAGGACUGGGGUUUCAUCUGGGCAAGGAUCCAUUCCCAAGGUCCUCAGUAGUUGUCUUGUCAACAGAAUUUGAGCAAUUCAGUUCCUUGCCACGGGGUCUUGUGCGAUGUAGCUGAUCGCUCCUUCAAUGCGUGUGAGCUGAGAAGGCAGAGCCUGCAACCUCUUAUAACCUAAUCUCAGAAGUGACAUCCCAUCACCUUUGCUGUAUUCUAUGGCUAAGUAGCUGAAGUGAUGGGGGAAGGAGCAGAUGGCGCGCUGUUAUAAAGGCAGCUGAUGACAACUGUCAUCGCUAUUUAAACCGGUCCUGCGUCCGUAGACCAGUGGAAAAUAACCUCAGAACGCUCAGCCCAUUCAUCGAACGCUGCCACCCGGAGGAGGAGGUGGGUCAGAGGAGGAGGGGAUAGCCACCACAGCAUCACACCAGCCUCUCUCUGAGCCACCUUCUUCCCAGCCACACGGGUACACACAGCUCCCAGUCUGUGUGACGGACCGGCCCCUGACGGACAGAACAUCCUUCCGUGACAACAGCUGGGGGAGAGUGAACACCAGGUAGACUGAACCAUCAGAACAAUUGCAUGGCUGGCAGAGACAGACGAGAAGCAGAGGCCAGCCAGGAGCGGGAGACAGCUGCUGGGAGAAAGGCAAGCCAACAUGGCCAGGAAACCCAUAGCAUUCAACAGACAUUCCGUCCAGAAGCUGAGCUCGGCGGACGUGAUGGACAAUGCCCUGAGUAUCUAAUAGUGAAGUCAAUUCAAAACAAAACUGGUUUUUUUCUUUUAUGAACAGAAAGCACUUAAAUAACACUCCAGUCUUCAGCAAAGCUGCAGAAAGAAACCAUUCAUGCAGUGUGAGUUUUAAGGCUGGCUUCGCUUUUCAGCGGGCUCUCGGUGGCAUGGUGUGAAAACGUGUGUUUCCUCCAGCUCCUCUCUGUGCAGCAUGCAGACAACCCUUCAGCGCUUUUCCUGCCAAUGUUUUCCCGCCUCGCAGAUCACUACGUCCACUGACAUUGAUCUCAAGCAAACUUUAAACAAAGACGUGUCUUGUCUUUACCGCCCACUUAGCCUGCUGCGGUCUGUCUGUUGCAACAUUUCUGUCUGUCCUUAGGUCUUUGGAAUAAACUGACUCUGUGUUUCGUCAGACCUUAA